rnacentral:lncRNA from 1 species
AUGGCACGCGGCACGGUGACGUCCAGUCGCACACACCGGGGUCUCCGUUCGGGGGCUCUGCCGGUGGGGCUGGGGCGCACGGAGCACGGGGGGGGGCCUCUAAAGGCCACGGAGGAGACCCCUGAGGGGGCAGAGGGCGGUGGGUGCCCCCGCUGUACGGCCGCUGCGCUCCCCCCCGGCGUGGGGAGGCCGAGCGGAGGUUUCCGUCCCGGCCCGGCCCUGCCUCCUCCCCACUCCCACAUCUGCAGCUGGAAUUGCAAUUUGAAGCGCUGCCGGGGGGGCCGGGAGGGAGCGGGGCGCGGGGGGAAGCAGCGCGGGGCGGCGGGCGGAGGCGGUGGGCAGAACCGUGCGGUGCAGUGCGGGGCUACACGGGGACCCCCGGCUCAGAGGUGGGUAAGCGCCGUGGGGCACGGCGGGGGGGUCACGGCGCAGGCGGUGGGGGUGGCACGGGGAGGGGGCUGUGGUUGGGGGGUGUCACGGCUCGGGGCCGCGGUUGGGCCUCGGGGAAGGUGUCACUGCCCUGGGGGUCUGUCCCCAACCCGGAGCUGGGGAGAUGGGGAUGGGGACAUGGGUGGGAGUGGGGAUCGCCGCCCUGUGUGCCCCAGAGCCACCACGGCCCCGGCCGCUACGUGGGGACACNUCCACGCAACUUUGCAAUGCACCCACCUCCCAUCUCCACGCACACAACUGGUUGUGUUGCACAGCAGCAACUCCCCCUCUCUGGGACAGCCCCGGGCCUGGGGUCCUUUUGAACCCUUUGAGCCCUGCAGGGCAGCACCCAUCGCUGCACCGACCCCAUGUGCCCCCGUGGGGCUCAGCAGCACCCCCAGCUCGCAGCCCUGCCCCCCCGGUGACACCGCGGCGCUGUCCCCGCUGUCCCCAUCACGCAGGGGACGUCUGCCCACGGCCACCCCAGUGCACCAUCUCUCAAGGCCUGGAAACAGGAACCGGGAGAUGUUCCCCGCAGGGAAAGGGGAACCCGCUGGGGAAAUCGAAACACAGGAGAACCAGGAGUGA